AUGGACAGGAAUUUGACAAUGGAAAAAUGGAUUCUCUACCUUUUUGCCGUACUUGAUAAGAUGCUCCAAGCCGCAAUGCCAGUUAGACAGAGACAGCCUUCCAAACUGCAGACAUCAGUGCUUGGUGAAUCAUCUGGGGAAAAAAGGAAGGUUUUAAAUGAGAAGGAAAGAUAGAUACAACAGGACUCUAAAAAUAAUAAUUGGGGUUUUCAAUACACCACUCUUUUCCUCUCCGCACCCAAGCAAGCAGAGUGAGAAUCAGUAAGGGCCCAGUUAAACCCAGUUUUGGGGGGGGCCCCAUGGUCUAGCCCAGGGCUAUUGCUCUACACUCUCUCCUAGGGUUGCUCACAGACCAGUCUUUGAUCUGAAGCCUGAGCUCCCACCACAUUCUCACCUCUCACUCACUCUCCAAUUUUUGUUUUUAUUCUCCUGACUUCUGUUCUGAUUUUUUUGCUCCAUUUUUUGCCCCUACUUCGUGUUUCGACUUGAUUGAUUACGAUGUAAUCAUAGGUAUAGACUUAUCUUCAGAACUAUCAAGUCUUCAGCCCAGGUUCAAGCUCAUGGCCUCACGCUCCUUACCCCCAGGAUUCCUGUUCCUAAGACUGCCUCACCCAAACGUAGACCCUUAAUAUGUCUCACAUGAAACCCAAAAGUGGAAAUUUAUCUGGAAAC
rnacentral:lncRNA from 1 species